UGGGGGUAUAGCUCAGUUGGUAGAGUGCCUACCUCGUGAGCACGAGGCCCUGGGUUCAAUCCCCAGUGCCACAA